UCAUCAAGGGACAUGCAAUCCACAAGAGAAACUCACCUGCUGUUUAAACUGCCUCGCUGCCUUCUCCAUACGCUGAAAGCCAAGCUCGCGUCUCUUCUUGGCCUCCUCGAGUUUCUUCUGAACCCGUCUCUGAUUCACCCAUUUUAGCACCAAGACGGCAGUGACCGAACCGCAAAAGGAGACGUGACUGGGAUUCAUCUGGGGAGGACUGUUCCCUGAUUCAAAAUGUGGAGCAGAGUGGGAAACAUUUAUAUUGUGGUCUCCACCUCCUUCAUGAGCCGAAGGCACAGCUCCUCCUGCCAAGACAAGGCCACACACUGGACGGCCACAGGAAGCCCAACAGCAUCUUUAACAGCCUGCAAGUAGAGGGACAGACAGCAAGAGACAAGAGCAUUAGCAAGUUGCAAGAGAAACGGCAAGAGGCAGUCUCCACCUCCUUCAUGAGCCGAAGGCACAGCUCCUCCUGCCAAGACAAGGCCACACACUGGACGGCCACAGGAAGCCCAACAGCAUCUUUAACAGCCUGCGAGUAGAGGGACAGACAGCAAGAGACAAGAGCAUUAGCAAGUUGCAAGAGAAUCGGCAAGAGGCAGGUAGAUUCUUUUGGUAAUGGUCACUGACCUCUUUCAGGCGCUUAUCCCAAGGGUCACCAUAAUGCCCUCUGUAAUGUUUAAGCUCUUCCUCAUCAGCCUGGGUAACGGUGGUGACUGGCACAAUCCCAGCAGGAAAGUUCAGGACGUUGUAUAAAUUGGUAUAGGAUGUAGCAGCU